GACGAACGCUGGCGGCGUGCUUAACACAUGCAAGUCGAACGGAAAGGCCUCUUUCGGGGGGUACUCGAGUGGCGAACGGGUGAGUAACACGUGAGUAACCUGCCCUUGACUUUGGGAUAACUUCAGGAAACUGGGGCUAAUACCGGAUAGGAGCUCCUGCUGCAUGGUGGGGGUUGGAAAGUUUCGGCGGUUGGGGAUGGACUCGCGGCUUAUCAGCUUGUUGGUGGGGUAGUGGCUUACGAAGGCUUUGACGGGUAGCCGGCAUGAGAGGGUGACCGGGGAGAAGGGGACUGAGAGACGGAGAAGACGGGAAGGGGAGGAAGCGGGGGGGAAUAUUGCACAGUGGUGGGGAGGCUGAUGAGAAAGCGGGGGGGGCGGAAAGACGGCUUUGGGGUGGUGAACAGAUUUAGACUGUACCGAAGAGUGAGUGACGGUAAUGGGUAAAGAAGCACCGGCUAAUUACGUG
rnacentral:rRNA from 1 species